AACGAACGCUGGCGGCAUGCCUAACACAUGCAAGUCGAACGAGACCUUCGGGUCUAGUGGCGCACGGGUGCGUAACGCGUGGGAACCUGCCCUUAGGUUCGGAAUAACUCCCCGAAAGGGGUGCUAAUACCGGAUAAUGUCUUCGGACCAAAGAUUUAUCGCCUUUGGAUGGGCCCGCGUUGGAUUAGCUAGUUGGUAGGGUAAAAGCCUACCAAGGCGACGAUCCAUAGCUGGUCUGAGAGGAUGAUCAGCCACACUGGGACUGAGACACGGCCCAGACUCUUACGGGAGGCGGCAAUGGGGAAUAUUGGAAAAUGGGCGAAAGCCUGAACCACCAAUGCCGCGUGAGUGAUGAAGGCCUUAAGGUUGUAAAGCUCUUUUACCCGGGAUGAUAAUGACGGUACCGGGAGAAUAAGCGCCGGCUAACUCCGUG
rnacentral:rRNA from 1 species